rnacentral:lncRNA from 1 species
AGGGGAGAAGCCAUUUAUUUACCACUGCAUCUAUUUAAAUAGAGUUAACUGUCCCAUUUGCUCAUUUUAAGCGUUGCCUUUUCCAGCAUUUCAAGGGUUUAAAGCUGUAUUUCAGGGCACUUCUACCCACACCCCGGCACCAAAUAUUUCCAGCUGGGGCUAGGCCAGCAGGUAUGUAAUGGUAAUGCCACCUGGGAGUCCAUUCCUUUUCUUAUUUUCAUUUAUAACGUAGAGAGCCCUGAUUAAAGGUCCCUAUGAGACACCAUCCAAAUCAAUACUAUUCUUCCCCACCCUAAUUAAUCACAGGUGGAAUGCUACUUAGUAAUCACUGAAAAAUAAUUAUGGAAGCCCAUAAAUUAUCCAACUUAGCUGGCAACACUGCUGAAACACCAAGUUUUUCUUCUCACCUUUUUUUUUUGUCCUUUGCUCCAUUGUUCUGAGUAAUUGUAGCAAAAAAGAAAACAGUGUUUUUUCCCAAAGAGUUUUCUUCUACACAGAGCUCCUUACCUGAAAUUUAACUCAGAGAAGCCAAACAGCUACGGUCCCUCUGAGGGCCUUUAUACCCGGUGGGAUUUGCCGCCUCCCCUUUCCCAGGCAUCGUGGGAAAAAGAGGCGGGCCCAAUUAGGGGUAUAUUAACCCCAGGCUGUGCUAAGGGGCAUUAUUCCUUCCAGGGGAAUCAGCAGGGGUAAAGAGCUCCUCUCUCAUUUCAGUGAAGAGGCUCUUUCAACUUAUUUUAGCCUGCUAAAAGUGGGCAUAUUUUGGGCAUUUGAAGCAGCAGAAGUUUUGAAAACACCUUCAAAAAAACAAUAUUGAAUACAGGGAGUAUUUAAGUUUAUGAUUUUGGGUUGGGGGUUCAGGGGCAAUAAGACAGUUCUGUAAUGACUCUUCUCCUUGGAUUUUUUUUAGGAGGAUUGCAAUUUCCAGAAGUUCUAGAUGCAGAUGGUUUGACCUCGUGGCAGAGCAGCUGUCCCAGAUGAGGGGGUCCCCCUGAGAAGGUGAUGAUACUUGUCUGAGACAACAGCCCGGUGAGAGAAGAACUUCCCAGACAGCGAGGUGGCUUUGUUUGGCUCUCGACCGGCCUCUCGCCGUGACUCACAUCUUCAGCCCUCUGAGAGAUAAGUGGAGCCCACAGAGGGGAUCAAAGCAGGGCGAUGCAGACAGAUUGACCUCAUGGCAGAGCACUGUCCCAGAUGAGGGGGUCCCCCUGAGAAGGUCGGUCACGGUUUUACUUUGCAGCAGGGCUGGAACCGGUCACUGUGUUACAGCUCUGCUCUUUGUAUUUAUUUCUAGGAAGUAAAGCCGGAUAGCAGCGGGGAAGGCGAAGCAGGUGGAAGGUGAGCCUCGGUUGGUGGAGAGAAGCAGUUGUUCUUGCUGGGGUCGCAGUUUCUGCUACAACUCCAA